rnacentral:lncRNA from 1 species
GGUUAACCGAAAACUGAACCGAAUUUAUCGAAACCACAACCAGACAGCCGAAAACUGACCCUAAUCAUACUCGCCUAAUAAGCCAAUUCUCAAGGUUGGUGGCCCCAGGGGAGAUAAUUUGUCAUACAAAUAGGACAAGGGAUGUUUUAACUUUAAUGCCAAGAAAAAGAGAAAAGGGAAAAAGUUCUAGUCAGGUGAUAGAUACUGAAGUUACAAGCUAUUUCAGGAGAUAUCGUGAUCCAGCUGUUGCUCCUGCUGCUCUCUCUCAUUAAUGUUCUAAGAGCAUACAAAAUGAAGUCUUGGCGAGUCUCUCCCGCUCAAUGCUUUCACAUAAACGGUAGCCAUUAGGAAAGUAUUUUAAAUUUAAGAUGCUUUUGAGGGGUAUGGCCGUAUAGGUUCGUGUAUAGUCCUGCUAUCGACUUCUUCCACUGAUAAUGUCAGGUUCAUGCAAGACAAAUACCGAAUACAAAAUUCUUUAUGCAUGAGAAUGGAAAGUAUCAAACUCAAGAUAUCUGUUGCUUUUGCCCCAGUAGAGCUGUUAAAUCACCCCAAGAAAAGGUUGGCGAAGAGCAAUUGAAACGGAACCUAAAACAUGUUUAAUAGCAUUUACACAAUCUAAAUCACCGAUUGCAUCACAUCACAAUUGCAUCUGGAUUCCAGCAAGGAAAGCUAAGCAGCAUGGACGUGUGCCUACUCAAAAUUCUAACAGAAUGUGUUCAUUUCUAUGAGAAACUAAAUGAGA